GCGAGAUAGGUGUUGGUUUUUCUGAUUAUGAAUCAAAUACUAUUUGGAGGGAAAGGACUUGGAUCGAGCAGUGGUCGCCGUUCGACAUCUACGAAGAUCUCCUUCGUCAGUUCGAUUUCUUGGAUGAACAAGGAACGCGGAUCAUAAUCUACAAUCUCUGGGAAGACAACGACGAGGGAUCACCUGAAUUGGAUUUCGACACAGUUGAACAUGACAUACAAAUUCGAGGAGCCAGCCGAGACGAGAGCCAGAUAGAGAAUGCAGAAGUAUAUGCGAUUCCACGCGGAUUUCGCAUCUUCUUACGGGGCAUCGAUGUUCAGCAUCACGAUAUAAU